UACGAGGGGGGCGAGCGUUGUUCGGAAUUAUUGGGCGUAAAGGGUGCGUAGGCGGUUUGGUAAGUCUUGUGUGAAAUCUCCAGGCUCAACUUGGAGUCUGCACGAGAAACUGCCGGGCUUGAGUGUGGGAGAGGUGAGUGGAAUUCCGUGGUGUAGCGGUGAAAUGCGUAGAUAUCAGGAGGAACACCUGUGGCGAAAGCGGCUCACUGGACACAACUGACGCUGAUGCACGAAAGCUAGGGGAGCAAACAGG
rnacentral:rRNA from 1 species